UACGUAGGGGGCAAGCGUUGUCCGGAUUUAUUGGGCGUAAAGAGCUCGUAGGCGGUGUGUCGCGUCGGCCGUGAAAACCUGCAGCUUAACUGUGGGCUUGCGGUCGAUACGGGCAUCACUGGAGUUCGGCAGGGGAGACUGGAAUUCCUGGUGUAGCGGUGAAAUGCGCAGAUAUCAGGAGGAACACCGGUGGCGAAGGCGGAUCUCUGGGCCGUAACUGACGCUGAGGAGCGAAAGCAU
rnacentral:rRNA from 1 species